UAAUACGGAAGGGGCAAGCGUUGUUCGGAAUCAUUGGGCGUAAAGGGCGCGUAGGUGGUUGGGCAUGUCCGCUGUGAAAGUACACAGCUCAACUGUGUUCCGUCGGUGGAAACUGCUCAACUCGAGGCUGGAAGGGGCUGGUGGAAUUCCCUGUGUAGCGGUGAAAUGCGUAGAGAUGGGGGAGAACACUCGUGGCGAAGGCGGCCAGCUGGGCCAGUCCUGACACUGAGGCGCGACAGCGUGGGGAGCAAACAGGAUUAGAUACCCUGGUAGUCCACGCCGUAAACGAUGGGCACUAGGUGCUGGCGGUAUUGAUCCCGUCGGUGCCGGCGCUAACGCAGUAAGUGCCCCGCCUGGGGAGUACGGUCGCAAGGCUG
rnacentral:rRNA from 1 species